rnacentral:rRNA from 1 species
AUGAUAGUGACGGUUGUUGCCAUAUCCGAGUCUGUUCAAUAUAGCCCUUUUUUCUAUGCUGCCCAUGGAGGAUUAGAGGCUACCAGCGGCAGGACUGGCAUUAGUAGGCCCAGGUGUUGCGGGCGCGGAGGAUUUCUGACGGUGGAUAGAGGGCAGCCUCGCAGGUUGGCGCUGUUGCCAGGGACAGCAAGGGCCACGUUUUCGUCUCUGUAUGCAAAAUCUUCCAUCGCCGGACUGCAGUCUCUUGCAAAAUACUACAUCGGGCCUUUGAUCCUGGAGAUGGAUUGCCAUGCAAUCACAAAAGAGCUAGCUGCGGGAGACCAAUCCAGAUCACAAUGCUAUGCCCUGAUCAAGGAUAUUAAACAAGCACUCUCAGUUUUUUCAGCUUACAGUGUCAGCCAUGUGGUAAGAACUUGCAAUGCUCAUGCUCAUGAGCUUGCAGCGGCUACCAGAAAUGUCAAUGACUAG